UUAAAACUUUCAACAACGGAUCUCUUGGUUCUGGCAUCGAUGAAGAACGCAGCGAAAUGCGAUAAGUAAUGUGAAUUGCAGAAUUCAGUGAAUCAUCGAAUCUUUGAACGCACAUUGCGCCCGCCAGUAUUCUGGCGGGCAUGCCUGUUCGAGCGUC
rnacentral:rRNA from 1 species